AAACCCAUUCGUCUCCAAACACGAUUUACCAAGGACCAGGGAGCCCUGAGCUUUUUCCCCUCACGCAGCGUCUCCGUGGCAGCUCCCGAGUUGCGCUCUCGGAGGCGGCAACCCCACUUUUCUUCCGUCUCCCAGUCACAGACGGGACAACGUGCAGCUGCCGCCACCGGCCAGGCCGCUGUCACCGCUGUCACCGCCGCCGCCGCUGCUUCUAAAUCAGAGCCGCUACUGCAAAGAAAGGGUUACUCCUCUCUCCAGUCAAGUGGCUGCAAACUUCCCCUGCUCUCCUUGUGCCAUAUUUCUGCAAACUUGGACGUCCUUCCGUGCGGAAGGACCACGGAAAGCCAUCACGAGCGUCACAGGGAGCAUAAUAAAGGGCACCCCGGAAGGCAAGGAAACUAAAAGGAGAUAGAAAGGAUGCAAAGGGGCAAAGGGGGUGAAGAAAAUGGAAGAUCUGCACCUGGGAGCAGGAAGGCACCCUGGUAGUAGAGGGUAGCAUGAUAAGAAGAUGGGAAACAGAGAGAGGAAGAAAGCCCCCAGCAACCACCAUUCCAUUGUAUAUAUGAAUUUGACUACCCUAGGAAAUUCAUCUCAAUCUGGGGAAAGUCAGUUGCAUAUUGUGAACUGUCCUGUGUAAAAGCCCCAGUGCCAAGGACCUGAGACCUGCCAAUACCCAUGUGGAUGGCGUGGAAGUGGAUCAUCCCACAUUCAAGCCUUCAGAUGACUACACCAGCCAACAAAUUAAUUAUAGCCUUGUGAGAGACCCUGCAACAGAGUAUCCAGCUAAGCCAUGUGCAGAUUUGUGACCCACAGAAAUUCAGAAUAUCAUUCCUGUCUGGACGGAACUUCUGGAUUUUCUUCAGUGUCUCAGCAGUCUUGUGACUAUGCCUGAGGAAAUGAAACGAGUAACAGCAAUCCCAACCACAGGUAGAUAACCAGGAGAAAUCUUUGCACACAUAAAAGGAGAGGCAUGUAUAAGAAUGAUUGUAGCAGCACUCUUCACAAAAUGAAAACAUGGAAGAAGUUGAAACAGGAUCCAUCACUAUAACACACUGAAUCCCGCAAGUCCUCUCCUGCCUAAAGACAAAAUAAUUCAUGGUUAUUUAGCCUCUUUUAAGAAACUAUCUUUGCCAUUUGGAGACUCCAUGAAAAACCUGAGUAACCAGACAAGCAAAAGGAUGAAGGUAGGAGCCCCAAACAAUUGCUAUAUCUAGAGGAGGAGGGAAUGACCUAUGAAUCUGCCAAUCAGAACUUAGUGCUCCAACUACAAAAGAAUGCAGAGGAUUCUCCAGCCGGUGGGCCAAGAAACACAGAUGAACAAAACAACACAAGACAGAACAUUUUCAUCCUGUACAUGAAAGAAGCACAGAGUCCCAUCAGCACAAUGACUGAGAAAGAAAAGCUGUUUCAUUCUUCUGGAAUCAUUAGCUGGCAUGAUGUAAGCUUGAAUUUGAUUGUCCCCAAGAUCUUUUCCUCUCAUCCCAUGGAGGAAGCUUAUGGGCAGGGGAAAGAAUGAGUCCCACCCACUGAGGAGAAGCAGAUGAGUAUUUUUCUAUAUAUGCAUUUAUUAUAUAGUAUGAAUAUGUAUAUUGCACUUUAUGUAUUAUGCAUUACAUAAUAUAUACCAUAUGUUCAUUUGUUAAUAUUAAAUAACAUAUAUUACAUAUUUUAAUUAAAUGUCUAUGCUAUCAAGAUUUUCAUUCGAGAAAGACUUUCAAGGAAGGAUUCCCUGCCUAGCUGUAGGGUGCACAGGUAGCAGUCCACCUUCAUCUGUCAGCACCUUAAGGGUUGGAGAUUGUCAUCUUUCCCAAGGUCACACCCUUGCCUGGGUGGCCUGUGUCACAGAGAGGUAAGAAGUAGCAGUGAAGAAAAUCUAAAAUGAAUAAUGGAGAGAGGAGAGAAGAGUAACAAUUGUGGCUCUGAGGCCACUUGACAGAGGGAACGUCUAUAAGGUGUCCCACUGGGCUUCCACUUUGAAAAAGAGCCCCACCAGAAACUUGGAAUUGCUGCUCCAUAAAGGUAAAUGGAGUUCUUGAUCCAAGUGGUACUGAGGGUGGGCUAAGAUAGACAUGAACUUUUGCUAUAUAGAUCCCAAUUCAAGGAAGGACUUGCUUCCCAGUGGGAUAGUGUGGUUAGCAGUUAGUCUCAGGCUGUGAGCUUUCUCAGGGUAUGCCUCAGCUACAGCCCCUGACUCAUUCAAGGUUGAGCCUUCCUGCCAUAGUCCAUAUCUGGUGACUAAGAAAAGUGGGAGUGUAAGUCCUAGUCAUUUUAGCCCAAUGACAGUCACUUUAAUGAGCAAUAUUCAUUCAACACUAUCUGACCAUUUGGUUAAGACUUGGGUGGGCCUGCAUGGUAAUUUGGCCUCUUUUUCUUACAAAUUCUGCUUCCUCUCCUUUCCUUUUACAGUUUGAUUCUCAUGAAUAAACUUGCACUCCAAACUCCUUUUCAGCAUCUGUUGCCAGAGAACACAAUCAGUGAAGAAAGGACACAGGGAGACAUAGGGAGAAGGCCGUGUGAGGAUGGAGACAGAGAUUGGAGUUAUGCUGCCAUAAACCAGAGAACGCUGGAAGCCACCAGCAUCUAAAAGAGGCCGGGAUUCUCCCCUAGAGCCUUUGGAAGGAGCUUCACAGUGACAACACCUUCACUUCAAGCUUCUGGCCUCCCAAAGUAGGAGAUAAUGAAUUUCUGUUAUUGAAGCUCAUAUUGGAGAGAGGAGGUAAGAAUACAUAGGUAACAAAUAAAUAUGAAUUACAAUUGUGAUGAACAACAUGAAGAAAAUAAAAAUACAUCAGUGAUUUUGAAUAACAAAGAAGAGGAACAAACCUAUGAAGAUAGGCACUAAGGUGGGCCCACAGACAGUGGGCACUAAGAAAGUUACCUGUUGUAGGCCACCACUGAAGGAUGAGAAGUCACCUAUGUCUAGAACUGUGGAAAGAACAUUCCAGGUAGAAGUAACAGCCUUUGGAAUAUCCCAAGAUGGGAAAACCUUCCAGCAAGUGAAAGAAACCUAGUGUGACUGGAAUAGAGUGAACAAAGGAAAAAGAAACACAUAAUGAAGUUGGAUAAUGACUAGAUUAUGUGAAGUCUUAUGAGAUAUGUAUUUAUUCGUUUAACACAUAUUUUUAGAACGUCCACCAAAAGCCAGAUGUUCUUGGAACUGAGGUCAAAUAUGUCUACUGGACAUGAUCCUGUUCUUGUGGAGUUUGAUCUAAUGGGAAGGAUAAAUGUUAAGUAAUAAUACAGUCAGUAUCAGUAUAAAAGGGCAAUGCUAGAAUGUCUCUAGAAGGUUGAUGCAUGGUGCUAUUAACAGCUGACAGAGGGAAAGGACCCAGGAAGAAAGAUCAAGAAGGAUUCUCAUAGGAGCUAAAGCUUUAGCUGAAAACUAAAUGAUAUGCAGUGAACAGAAAGGAGAAUGAAGUAAAAUACAGGCUUGUAUAGCAUGGGUUGGCCCUAUUAGGAUCUACUAAAAUUUGGAAUAGUCACUGAUCCAGUUGGAUACAAUGAAUAUCAAUGACAAUGAUCAGCAGAAGACAAGUUUAAAAUUUGCUAUGUAUUGUGGAAUUCAGAAAAAAACAAAAACCAGUAAUGUGUGUUUCAGAAACUUUCAAAGUUCCAAGAAGCUUCUUUUACUUGGCUCCAAAGGCAUUUAUUGAGGAACCACUAUAACACAGGAGCUGUGUGCCAGGGUUGAGGAUACAAUCGUAUAUUAAAUCAGCCACUUUCCUGGACCUCAAUGCUCUUCACAGACUAAUGGAUGAGACAGCUUUCUGUGCAUAAUCACAUUAAGAAAUUUAUUUAUCAACUGUGAUAAUGCUUCCCUAAGAGGAUGUAACAAACAAAUCUGCUGAGACUUCCUUCAGGACAUGAUAUUUGAGAUGAUACCUGAUAUCUGUGGGAGACGACAGUGGAGACUGGGGACUGCAGGUGUACACCAAACUUUUAUAAUAAUCUGGAUGGAACUGGAAGACCAUUCUCCUUAGUGAAGUAUCACAAGAAGGAAAAAAUAAAC